CACACAGCGAUGGGGUCUCGGGGCCAUCUGUGUGCAAUGGCAUGCAUUGACGAUCAGUAAGACAAUUUAUCGCUUCUGAGAAAUCAGUGCCGCAGGAGGGGACUUGGAGUCCUCUUCUCUGGGAUCUAAGACUUCCCAUCUUUCCUAUGUGAGCCCAGAGAACUAACAUAUUCACGAAGACAUUUUCAGAGAAUCAUCGGUGGGCAUGUCUCCCAUUACACAGAAGGAAGAUGCCAACGUCACUUAAACUUGUUGGAACAAUUUGUUCUCCCUCUGACCAGCAUGGAACAUAAAAAGGACCUUUGGUAUUUGGUGUUGGAAAAAUGGCCUCUUGGAUCCAGAGCUCUUUAGGAGUCAUGGGUUCUUGGAUAGAAUUACUGAGAAAAAGAAGUCAGAAUUACCCAGGAGGCUGCGGGCUUUUGCUGAGAGAGGCCAAAGAAAGGAGAUCUGUGUUGGUUGGGAGCUCUCAUCGCCUCGCAGGGCUGAUGGUUGGCUUGGAAGAGAACAAAAAGAGAAUGCUGGCUGGAAUUUGGGCAGUUGAACAGUGCGAUGAACAUGAAGCAACGAGCUCCCUCAGCUCCUCCUGAAGUAUUCUUCGAAAGUGAGGGAUUCCAGCUGGAGUAGGAGCUUUGAGGGACUCACCAUGAACUUUAGGGGACUGGUUUAUUGUCUGUGACAGUAAGUUUUUAAGUCAUUGUUCCAGUUCCUUUUUACAAAAAAAGGCAGUUGUAAUUCUCAUCAGAAUUCCCAAUUUAUAAAUAAAAAAGGAAUUAAAUAUGCUAACUCCA
rnacentral:lncRNA from 1 species